UACGUAGGUGGCAAGCGUUGUCCGGAUUUAUUGGGUUUAAAGGGUGCGUAGGCGGUCUUCUAAGUCAGUUGUGAAAUACUUCAGCUUAACUGGAGAGGUGCAAUUGAUACUGGAAGACUUGAGUGCUGAUGAGGUAGGCGGAAUGGACGGUGUAGCGGUGAAAUGCUUAGAUAUCGUCCAGAACACCGAUAGCGAAGGCAGCUUACUAAGGAGUAACUGACGCUGAGGCACGAAAGUGUGGGGAUCAAACAGG
rnacentral:rRNA from 1 species